GACGUAGGGCGCGAGCGUUGUCCGGAUUUAUUGGGCGUAAAGAGCUCGUAGGCGGCUUGUCGCGUCGUCCGUGAAAACCUGCAGCUCAACUGCAGGCUUGCGGUCGAUACGGGCAGGCUAGAGUUCGGUAGGGGAGAGCGGAAUUCCUGGUGUAGCGGUGGAAUGCGCAGAUAUCGGGUAGAACACCAGUGGCGAAGGCGGCUAUCUGGACGGACACUGACGGCUGAGACGCGAAAAGCGUGGGGAGCAAACAGGG
rnacentral:rRNA from 1 species